CCUACGGGGGGUAGCAGUGAGGAAUAUUGGUCAAUGGGCGCGAGCCUGAACCAGCCAAGUAGCGUGAAGGAUGACUGCCCUACGGGUUGUAAACCUCUUUUAUAAAGGAAUAAAGUGAGGCACGUGUGCCUUUUUGUAUGUACCUUAUGAAUAAGGAUCGGCUAACUCCGUGCCAGCAGCCGCGGUAAUACGGAGGAUCCGAGCGUUAUCCGGAUUUAUUGGGUUUAAAGGGUGCGUAGAUGGGUUGUUAAGUCAGUUGUGAAAGUUUGCGGCUCAACCGUAAAAUUGCAGUUGAUACUGGCGGUCUUGAGUGCAGUUGAGGUAGGCGGAAUUCGUGGUGUAGCGGUGAAAUGCUUAGAUAUCACGAAGAACUCCGAUUGCGAAGGCAGCUUACUAAACUGCCACUGACAUUGAUGCUCGAAAGUGUGGGUAUCAAACAGGAUUAGAUACCCGUGUAGUC
rnacentral:rRNA from 1 species